rnacentral:ncRNA from 1 species
CUAUGCCUGGGCAGGACGAAGCCAGAGGAAACUCUGGUGGAGGUCCAUAGCAGUCCUGAUGUGCAAAUCGGUCACCCGACCUGGGUCUUG